rnacentral:rRNA from 1 species
GACGUAGGAUGCAAGCGUUGUCCGGAAUUAUUGGGCGUAAAGAGUUCGUAGGUGGUUACUUAAGUCUGGUGUUAAAGCCCGAAGCUCAACUUCGGCAUGGCAUUGGAAACUGGGUAGCUAGAGUGUGGUAGAGGUAUCGGGAAUUCCUGGUGUAGCGGUGAAAUGCGUAGAUAUCAGGAGGAACACCGGCGGCGAAAGCGCGAUACUGGGCCAUAACUGACGCUGAGGAACGAAAGCCAGGGGAG